rnacentral:rRNA from 1 species
UACGAAGGGGGCUAGCGUUACUCGGAAUCAUUGGGCGUAAAGCGCGUGUAGGCGGUCCGGUAAGUCCGCUGUGAAAGUCGGGGGCUCAACCUCAGAUGCCGGUGGAUACUGUCGGGCUUGAGUACGGAAGAGGCGAGUGGAAUUCCUGGUGUAGCGGUGAAAUGCGCAGAUAUCAGGAGGAACACCAAUUGCGAAGGCAGCUCGCUGGGACGUUACUGACGCUGAGACGCGAAAGCGUGGGGAGCAAACAGG